ACCAGCGAUAUAGUGCAUUAAAAGAUGGAUUUUAGAUGACUUCAAGACACAUAUACAGAAAGCUGCUAAAAUUAACAGGGAACUUGAACUCAAAGCUCCCAAUGCUGAUCUUGAAGAAUCUGCCAAGGAGGCUGAACAAGUCCUUCAAAGGUUCAACCCUUUACAGCUGAAAUGGAAGACCAAAGGAAGGCCUGUCAUGGGAUUUGAAUUUGGCCAUACUGUGCGUUUACAGAGAAGACCAAAAGCUGCAAAGGCAAACACUUCCAACGCUGAAGACCAAAAACGCAAAGAAAAUCAGUCACAGCAAGCCGGUCAAACCAGUCCUUAUGAAUAAAGAAUGAACAUGGCCUUCUUGUGCCCAAACAGAAAGACA